rnacentral:rRNA from 1 species
UACGUAGGGGGGCAAGCGUUGUCCGGAUUUAUUGGGCGUAAAGAGCGUGUAGGCGGUUUGGUAGGUCCGUUGUGAAAACUCGAGGCUCAACCUCGAGACGCCGGCGGAAACCAUCAGGCUAGAGUCCGGAAGAAGGAGAGUGGAAUUCCUGGUGUAGCGGUGAAAUGCGCAGAUAUCAGGAGGAACACCGGGUGGCGAAGGCGGGGUCUCUGGGCUGUAACUGACGCUGGAGGAGCGAAAGCAUGGGGAGCGAACGG